CUGAAUUGGGUGGCCCUGUCCA
rnacentral:siRNA from 1 species